rnacentral:rRNA from 1 species
CACGUAGUUAGCCGUGGCUUUCUGGUUAGGUACCGUCAAGGUGCUAGCAGUUACUCUAGCACUUGUUCUUCCCUAACAACAGAACUUUACGACCCGAAGGCCUUCAUCGUUCACGCGGCGUUGCUCCGUCAGACUUUCGUCCAUUGCGGAAGAUUCCCUACUGCUGCCUCCCGUAGGAGUCUGGGCCGUGUCUCAGUCCCAGUGUGGCCGAUCACCCUCUCAGGUCGGCUACGCAUCGUUGCCUUGGUGAGCCGUUACCUCACCAACUAGCUAAUGCGCCGCGGGUCCAUCUGUAAGUGAUAGCGAGAAGCCAUCUUUCAAAUUUGAACCAUGCGGUUCAAAUUAUUAUCCGGUAUUAGCUCCGGUUUCCCGGAGUUAUCCCAAUCUUACAGGCAGGUUACCCACGUGUUACUCACCCGUCCGCCGCUAAUCUUUGGGAGCAAGCUCCCUCAGAUUCGCUCGACUUGCAUGUAUUAGGCACGCCGCCAGCGUUCGUCCUGAGCCAGGAUA